UUAAGAUAUUGAUUUGUAUAAUGCCAAAACUCUUUCCUUGAUACACCUCUCGUCCCAACUUCCCCUAUUAACUUAUUCCAACCUUCACGGACCAAGCGUAUCCUAUUCCAUUUCUCCGAUCCCUUUUUUCAUCGCCAAUUUCUUGAGACGAAUUCUCCAUCCCAAGUACCUAAAACCUGUUCUUGAGUUCCUCUCCCUGUGUGCUUGUUGGGCUCCAAGGAUCUUCAAUCAGAAGAGCAAUAUAAAUUGUAGCUUUUGAUUCAUCAGGAAAAGAGGCUUCUCCUUUAGUUAACGAUUGUGUUCAUCAUCAUAAUGCCCUUCAGUGAUACAACAAUCUUGUAGACUUUAUGACGUUCCUUAUCUGCUUCCUCCAAUCCUACUCAGUUGCAUUCCUCUACUGGUUCUACUCCAUCCAAUGAGAUCCACCUCAACAACUUAAUUCUUGUACCGGUUCCUUCAAAGGAGAACCGAAUUAUCCAAUUUAUAUUCAGCUUGCAUAUAUAUGAUUUCACAAAUCCUCCAAAAUACCAUGUUUACUGAAGGAGAUCCGCAGCUUGUCGGAGAAGAAAAGAAACGGAAGCGAAUGCUGUCGAACCGCGAAUCCGCAAAGAGGUCAAGGAUGAAGAAGCAGCAACAACUGGAUGAUCUGGCAAACCAAGUAUCAGAGCUGAAGAGCCAAAACGAGCAGCUCCUCUUACAGGUCCAUCUGCUGACGCAGCAAAACAUGUUUAUGGAGUCCGACAACGUCAUCUUGAGGACUGAGUUAAACUCGUUGAAAGAGAGGUUGCUGUUUCUGAAUUCGACAAUCCGAAGCAUGGAGCAGAUCAGCGGGAUAUCGAUCGAUGUGCUAACGGCUCCAGACCCACUCCUCAUGCCAUGGCAGCUCCCCUGUCCCUUUCAGUUGAUCAUGGCAAACCAUGGCAUCUUCCAGCUUUAAAUGAACUGGCUACAAGGUGGCAAUUGGUUACCAUGCGUUAGGUUUGAUUGCUUGAACAUGGUGUGGUGUGCUACGUUUCCGUUCAGUUUAGCUGCAGUCCUAUAUGUAAAUGGAUGUGUUGUUAUGACUCUUGCCUUAAAUCAUGUAUUGUAUCGCUUGUUAUAUUAAUGUUUGGGUUUGCAGCAAUCUAUCA